AUUGAACGCUGGCGGCAGGCCUAACACAUGCAAGUCGAGCGGUAGCACAGGGAGCUUGCUCCUGGGUGACGAGCGGCGGACGGGUGAGUAAUGUCUGGGAAACUGCCUGAUGGAGGGGGAUAACUACUGGAAACGGUAGCUAAUACCGCAUAACGUCGCAAGACCAAAGAGGGGGACCUUCGGGCCUCUUGCCAUCAGAUGUGCCCAGAUGGGAUUAGCUAGUAGGUGGGGUAACGGCUCACCUAGGCGACGAUCCCUAGCUGGUCUGAGGGGAUGACCAGCCACACUGGAACUGAGACACGGUCCAGACUCCUACGGGAGGCAGCAGUGGGGAAUAUUGCACAAUGGGCGCAAGCCUGAUGCAGCCAUGCCGCGUGUAUGAAGAAGGCCUUCGGGUUGUAAAGUACUUUCAGCGGGGAGGAAGGUGUUGAGGUUAAUAACCUCAGCAAUUGACGUUACCCGCAGAAGAAGCACCGGCUAACUCCGUGCCAGCCGCCGCGGUAAUAC
rnacentral:rRNA from 1 species